UCACUGCCAAAUGGCAUGAGAAGUGCUGUGACAGACUUGAGUAAAGUCCACAGGGUUCAGAAGGGGCGGUGGUCGUCACUGCAUGGGGGUGACCUCAGACUGUCCCGAUCCCUGUAUUGGCCCCUUUCACAGUUGGAUAACCAGUCCCAGCCUCAUGACCCUGGGCCUCAGUCAGCGUUUAGCCUACCAGGGUCCACCCAGCACCUGCGCUCCCAGCUGUCACAAUGCAAACAACGCUAUCAAGAUCUCCAGGAGAAGCUGCUGCUAUCAGAAGCCACUGUCUUUGCUCAGGCUAACGAGCUGGAGAAAUACAGAGUUAUGCUUAGUGAAUCCUUGGUGAAGCAGGACAGCAAGCAGGUCCAGGUGAACCUCCAGGACCUGGGCUAUGAGACUUGUGGCUGAAGCGAGAAUCAGGCUGAACAGGAGGAAACCACCAGUCCUGAGUGUGAGGAGCACAACAGCCUCAAGGAAGUGAUCCUGAUGGAGGGGCUGUGCUCUGAGCAGGGGUGCCGGGGCUGGCUAGUUCGUCUGAGAGGAAGCCCUUGGAGAACCAGCUAGGGAAGCAGGAAGAGUUCCGGGUAUAUGGAAAGUCAGAAAACAUCUCGGUCCUACGAAAGGAGAUCAAAGAUCUGAAGGCCCAGCUGCAGAAUGCCAACAAGGUCAUUCAGAACCUCAAGAGCCAGGUCUGGUCCCUCUCAGUUACAAGUGAUUAUUCGUCUAGUCUGGAAAGACCCCAGAAGCUGAGAGCUGUUGGCACCUUGGAGGGGUCUUCACCUCAUAGUGUCCCUGAUGAGGAUGAGGUGUGGCUGUCUGAUGGCACUGGGGCUUUCUACUCGCCAGGGCUUUAGGCCAAAAAGGACCUGGAGAGUCUCAUCCAGAGAGUAUCCCAGCUGGAGGCCCAGCUCCCAAAAAAUGGACUAGAAAGGAAGCUGGCUGAGGAGUUGAAAUCAGCCUCUUGGCCUGGGUAAGGAUGGCACUAUUUGGGCACUUCCUGGAUUGAAAAUGUGUAAGUUUGUGCUUGCUGUAGGGUAGCUCAGGCAGUUGGAAGAAAGA
rnacentral:lncRNA from 1 species